UACGUAGGGUGCGAGCGUUGUCCGGAAUUAUUGGGCGUAAAGAGCUUGUAGGCGGUUUGUCGCGUCUGCCGUGAAAUUUCGAGGCUCAACCUCGAACUUGCGGUGGGUACGGGCAGACUAGAGUGUGGUAGGGGAGACUGGAAUUCCUGGUGUAGCGGUGAAAUGCGCAGAUAUCAGGAGGAACACCGGUGGCGAAGGCAGGUCUCUGGGCCACUACUGACGCUGAGAAGCGAAAGCAUGGGGAGCGAACAGG
rnacentral:rRNA from 1 species